rfam:Schistosoma mansoni strain Puerto Rico chromosome 4, complete genome
ACACUGCUGAGGAGUCCCACAAUAGGUCGAAACGGCCGUCCAGUGC